GCGCUCUAUGUGUGUUUAUGGUUGACGCUCGGUAGGCUAGCGCCACCCCUCUUCCCAAGAAACGUGUUUCAAGGUUCCAGACUUGGAGCUAGAGGCCCGGGUCGGAAGUGGACGUAGCCAAUGGUUGUCGAUGUUUUUGUUUCCUGCAUCCCUAGGGCAAGUCAUGCGCCAAACGUGUCACCGCCUGUAACCCCGCCCCCUCUGCAUUCCACGGCCCUGAGGAUAACAAGUGAACAUAACAUACCAAAAUCUCUGCCUUCAUGAAGAUUUAAAUGUAAAAUUAAUAAUAAAAAAAACUUACAAAAAUUUGCUUUGAGAACAAGAUUGGACACCAAGAGGAAAGAAGAAAAAAAUCAGCAGGAGUGGUCAGGCCAGUAGAAAAUUCAGUUCUCGUCUCAGCAGAGAGACUUCACCCAGCAGAUUAAUAAAAUGCUGAAGAAGCCAACUCCUUCCCUUACCUUCUAGAUGCUGCAGAGAAACGUGGCCAGAUGACCUCUGUCAAAUGCAUCUCUGUUCCUGGAAUCAAACAAGAAACAAAGACAACAGC